rnacentral:sRNA from 1 species
GUCAAAAUCCGUGCCUGAAUUGCGCGUUCGCCUGCGAUCGCGUAUACUUUUUGCGUUGACGUAACACAGUGUGUUCGGCGGCGACCAACCGCAAAACCCUGAAAAAAACCUCGCUCCGGCGGGGUUUUUU